UCAGAACAACUCUUCUCCACUGCUCUCUUAUAGUAACUAGUUUUUUUCACUCCAUACCAAAAGAGCCUAGAAAAAAAAAUGAUGAAGCAGUUGCUCUCCCCAGCACUUCUUGUUCUGAUCUUCUUCCUCCUCUGCACCACAACUUCUGGUCAGUCUUCAGCACCAGCUGCGGCACCUUCUGGUCCUUCAGUUUCCUCAGGCUCUUCAUCAGGUCCUCCCGACAUCACUGCAAUUCUCAGAAAAGCUGGUAAGUUUACUACCUUCAUUGGGCUACUAAAGAGCACCCAGGUGGAUGACCUAAUCAACAACCAACUGAAAGCCAACCUGGGCUUCACCAUAUUUGCCCCAACCGAUAGUGCCUUUUCAGACCUCAAAUCAGGUACACUAAACUCAUUCACUGAUGAGCAGAAGACAGCACUGACAAAAUUCCACAUAGUGCCUUCUUUCCUGACUAUCUCACAGUUCCAAACUGUUAGCAACCCGGUGAACACAGUGGCAGGUGAUUCUGUGGAGUUUCCACUGAAUGUGAUAAGCAACGGAACUCAGGUGAACAUCACAACAGGGCUUGUCAAUACAACAGCGGACAGCACAGUACACAGCGAUGGUCAGCUUGCUGUGUAUGAGAUAGGCGAGGUGCUCCUUUCACAAGGUAUCCUCAAGCCUCUUGCAGAAGCUCCCCUAUCUCCCAAACCUAAGAAGGCUUCUCCUCCUAAUGCAUAUGCUCCUUCAAAGUCGACCGGCGCUUCUGCUAUUUCUUCUGAUGCUACGUGUCUUUCACCCUAUGCACCGACCGUAGCAUCCGUUGGAGUGGCUGUUCUUGCGGCAGUGCGCUUGUGCCUAUGAACUGAGUAUUGAUUGAUGAAUGACGAUGGUGUGAUCGAUCUGCAGUGUGCUUUUGCUGUCAUGAUUUUCGCUUAAUCAAAUUAUUACUUUGUAUUUGUCCUUGAAUUAGGAAAAAUGGGAUUAAUAAUACAAGGCUACUUAAUUUUGGUUUCAUAUUAAAAAUAUUGGUAAAUUGAGGCUUUCGCAAGGGAUGGUCAAGGAAAGGAGAAACUUUUGGUCUUUUGCUUUGGUGUCGAAUACUUUUUUUAAUUAGAUUAAAUUGAAAUCUUGGUAAAAAGUGGCUAUGUUUGAUUUUGAAAAAUAGUAGGUAAAGAAAAAAAGAUAAAGAAAAUGUUUUCUUUUUCUAUGAAAAAUGAAAAAAAAAAGUUAAAUAUAAUUAAAAUUAUGAAGAAAUUUGAAUUUUUUCAAAUUAGUUAAUUUAUAUAUAGAAGAGUUAAAUCCGUUAAAAAAAAAAAUAAUAUAUAAAUUUUUUUUAUAAAAUUUAUAUCUAUUUUUUCAUUUUCCUUUACUUUUUAUCUUAAUUUUAUUUCCCUCAUAUUUUCCUUCAAACUUUUUGGAACCAAACAUAAUCUUAAAAUAUUAAAUACUAAUUGGGUAUUAAUAAACCCAAAAUUUUCUAAUUACUUUUGUAAUUAAGUUAAGUGACAAUAAUUAAUAAUUUUUUUUAAAAAAUAGUGUGACAUGUGAUAGAUAGGUCAUGAUAAGUAGUGUAAGGUUAAAAAUGAUAACUGGAUAUUCUAAAAUAUUGAUGCUUGUUGGAAGGCCUUCCCAUAUGUAACACAUGUCUGUUAAUCCCUUUGUUAAAGAUUGGAUUAUGAUAGUGUCACGGCCAGGAUGAUAAAGCCGAAAGGCCUAGAGUAUCAUUAAUCAGUGGGGUUUGUUUUCAUAAUUUAACUUGGAUCUGAAUCAUGUCAAUUUGUUUUUGUUGGUACCUAAAUCAUGUUAAAUCUUCUAGUUUUUAAAUCCAAAAAAAGAAAAAAAAAAUUUAAGGAUUAUGGAUUAAAUGUUUUAAUCUUAAAAAUAAUUAUCACAUUUAUUUAUUUAUUUUUUUGCUUUGUAUAAUUAAAAUAAGAUAUUUAAAAAUUAAUAAUUUAAUAAAAUAGCAAUUUAACAUAUAUCCAAAAUACCAAAACCUAUUAUAAUAAUAAAAAAUUUAAAGAUUAAUAAUUUAAACACCUUGCUAUUACAUAUUACUAAUUAAAUACCUAAAAAUAUUAAAUUUAUUAACAUAGUAAAAAUAUAGAAAAAAUGACAAAAUUAAUUAAAUGCUUGAAGAGCCUAUUUGCAAUUUGGCUUAGAAGAAGCUUUUGUAUAAACAUGUGUAAAAUGUCUUAAAUCUUGAAAAAAAAUUUACAUCGUUAAAAAUAAUAUGAAAGUAAAAGAAAUAUUAACUUUUUCCCUUUGAAUAAAAUUGUCUUAUCAAUUAAAGAUGGAUAUAAAUUGAGCUUAAAUUUAUCCAGGCUAAUGUCCAUGAAUAUACCGGUAACCGCAAAUUUAGCAAUUUAAUUAGUUGACAAAUCAUAGUAAUAAGGAUUGGAGCCCCGAGGGGAGCAUGAACUGCUGUCUCCCACUGCCACUAACCAUGUCCAUGUCUUCAGUAUCGUCCCCUUGCAGAAAGGGAUGCGUAUCUUUUUUUCCUUCCUUGCUAAGCAAACUAUACUAGAUGUUUUAACAAUAUGUAACACCCCAUCUGUGUCUUCCUCUACCUUACUAAUAUAGAUGGGAUAUAUAUUGAGGUUCUCAUGCCAACUUCGAAAAGCAACCUUUCACCGAAAUUCAUGCUCACUUCCCAUCUCACCCCACUCAAUAAAAGCCCCAUUAGUUCCCCCCUCCAUAUUCAUCCAAAACAACCAUUCUCCACUUCUUUCUCGGAGCAGCAAGUUUCUCCACUCAAUAUCAGAAGAGCCUAGAAAAAUAUGAUGAAGCAGCUUUUCUCCUCCACUCUUCUUGGGAUGAUCUUCCUCCUCUGCAGCUCAUCAAUUUCUGGUCAGUCUUUGACACCGGCUCAAGCACCUUCAGGUUCUACCACAACUUCUGGUCAGUCUUCACCACCAACUCAAGCACCUUCAGGUUCUUCAUCUCCUUCAGGUCCCGCUGACAUCAUUGCAGUUCUCACAAAGGCCGGUAAGUUUACUACCUUCAUUGGGCUACUAAAGAGCAGCCAGGUGGAUUCCCUGAUCAAUACCCAACUCAAGAAACCAGGCAAUGGCUUCACCGUUUUUGCACCAACCGAUAGUGCCUUUUCAAACCUGAAAACAGGUACUCUCAACUCAUUCACAGAUGAGCAGAAGGCCGCACUGACAAAAUUCCACAUAAUACCUUCUUUCCUUACCAUCGCACAGUUCCAAACUGUGAGCAACCCGGUGCACACAUCGGCAAGUGGUGAUAGUGAGGAGUUUCCACUGAAUGUGAUAGGCAAUGGAACUCAGGUGAACAUGACAACAGGACUUGUGAAUACAACAGUGGACAGCACAGCAUACAGUGAUGGUCAGCUUGCUGUGUAUGAGAUCCCCCAGGUUCUCCUUUCACAAGGUAUCCUCAACCCUCAAGCACCCGCACCAGCUCCUCUACCACCGAAGCCUAAGAAGGCUGCUCCUCUUAAUGCACUUUCUCCCUCAAGGUCGACCACCGUUUCUGUUGAUUCUUCUGGUGCGACAGGUCUGCUCCACUAUGCACCAACUGUUGCAUCCAUUGGAGUGGCUGUUCUUGCGGCAAUGUCCUUAUCCCUAUGGACUGAGUGGCAGAUUGAUGGAUGGUGAUGUGUUGAUCAUGCGUGCAUGAGUGUAAUUGUGUUGUCAUGAUUUUUACUUAAUAAAAUCUUUACCUUAUCUUUGCACUGAAAUUUGAAAAAUUGACAUAAUAAGAGGGUAUCUUUUAUUUCAUGACAAAAAUACUGACAAAACAAAAAACAACAAAGGUCCCAUGGCCGUUGAUUCUGGAGUUAAGUGCCAAAGUGAAAUCGCGAAUCAAAAAAAGUUAUCACAUGUAGGCCUCCUUCCAGAUUUAUUAUAAAAAAAAUAUCAUGUAUGUUCUUAAAAUGAGGUUGAAACUGCAUUCAAAAGAUGCCAUCUUCAACAUUAAAAAUGUGAUUUUAGUUUGAAAAUAAACUUAGUCAUAUUUUGAAUAGUUAAAUAAAAAUAUGAUUUCUAUACAACUUAACAAAUGAAACUAAGAUACAAGUCUACAAGACUAAGUUCCAAUAUAUAUAGAAAUACAAAAAAAGAAAAAGACUUGUUCUUGAUUCUUGUCAUUAAUAUGAGACCAAGCUUUUAGUGACAUGAAAUAAAUCUAAAGUAAGAUAUUUAAUUUGCACUGACCAUGACCAUGAUUUUGUACACAAAGCCUUUAUAAGUUAGAUAUAUAACUUAUAAAAAGAAAAAGGAUUAAAAAAAAAAGGGAUCUGAAAAAUCCAAAACAGUGUAAACAUAGUUUACUAUGCAUGAUUGUCAAACAAAAUAACAGAAAAAAUCUAAAGAGAUCCUAAAAGUAAAGGAGGAGCUCUGCUUCUCUUCUAUUAUGAAUCAACAUUCUAAAAGUAGUGUCCUCGCAUUCAAAGAAUUACAAUGUACAGUGUAUUGGAACACUACAUUUCUACUCUUAUCAUUAACAUUCUUAUCAAGUAGGAUUCUAUUCUUUUUCAUGGGAUGGACCUCGGAACCUCUUACAUCCUCAUCCCAGUCCUUGUCACUUCCACUUGAGGAAUUAAGUAGGUAUCGGAUCAGCUAAACAGAAAUGGAACUGCCAAUUGAUGGAUGAAUUUGACAAAGACCCAGCCUCUCCAUGCUACACUUUCCAUGGCCGCUUUUAGGAACAAUAAAAAAAAGGAUCGGCAUCAUUGUCUCACAGAGUUUACAUAUCCUGCUGUUUCUUCCUGCUUUACUAAGCAACCCUUUUAGGUAUUCUAACUAUAUGAAAACCCACUACUACAAAAAACUAAAUUAAUGGCGCUCUAUUUCUUGGCGCUUAUAAAAAAUGUCAUUAUUUGUGACCAAAAUUAGUAAGCAUUGACGCUUGUAUAUCAUUGGCGUUUUACAAGGAGAAGCAAUGGCGUUUUUAAAUAAUGACCCUUUUAAAAACGUUAUUGUAUGCUGAAUUUUAAAUAAUGACACUUUUCCAAGUGUCAUUGUUGGACAAGUUAAAUAGUGGCAGUCUUUCAAAGUAUCAUGUCCAGUUUCUUUAUAUAAAAACUCCUUAUUUCUUAAUUUAAAAAGCCUAACACUCUAGCCCACAAUCACACCCAACAAACUCACUGCCCGACACCCACACUCAAACCCUAACCUCCAUGGAUGACCCUCUUUGAAACCCUAACCCUCUCCAAAACUCUAACCCUGAAAUUUAUGAGGCCUCUGCUACUAUUUGACUGAUUGUGGAGGAGGCAUAUCCGUGUUUGGCCACCAUUAGCUGACUGGUAAAUCUCUUUCUCUCUCAAAAUAUUUUCGAUUUUAUAGUUUAGGGUUUUUUCUUUUGGGUGUUUAUGAUUUUUUAUGGGGUGUUUGUUAUGGCUAAAUAUCUAAUCUGAUAAAUAUAACAAUUUGUUUGUGUUUGUUUUAUUUUUAGAAACCCAUUCCUUCAUGUUGUUUGGCAUUCGACUGCAAUUUUUGGCAUUGACACCUAAUGUAAGCUCUAACCUGUAUCUAUUCAUAUCCAGAUUUUGUAUUAUUGUUUUUUUUUCUUUUUGUAAAUUUUGGGUUUCAAUGUACCUGGAAUGAAAUGAUGCAUGUUGCUCUAUUUUUCGGGAAGUGGUGGCUGGAACUCUGUUUUUGGAAAAUGGCAGCUAGAUUCUCUUCUCAUACACACAGAAUUAAUGUUGUUAAUUUGUGGGAAAUGAAUUUUCUGCAAUGGGUUUUGCAACUAAUUGCAAAAAUAAAAAUUUCUUACCAGAUUUUUGUACUAAAAUCUCAAUUAUGAAAUAAGAUUUCUAAAUUUGUACUAAACCCAUAAUUUAAAAAUGCAGUUUCAAUUGGUAGUAUAUCAAGCGUGUUAUCCAGCAACGUCUAAAUAAUUAAAAAAAUUUAUAGUGCUUUUUCCAUGUCAGUAAGUUGUCUAUGUUGUGUAUUCACUCAAAGCAUGAUAUGGAAUCUCUUACCAAAUGUGCCCAUGCCUUAUUGUCCUUAAUCUCUUACCAAAUGUUGUGUAUUCACUCAAAAUUAUGAAUGCUUCCACCACGUGGGAGCUAGUGGGGUUUCUUUGCUCAUUUUCUAUUGUACCUUUCUUUAGGGGUUGACUUUGGCAUGAAAAGAGAAAAAAAAAAAAAAAUCUGGUUUUGAACUUAGAAUACUUUAAUUUAAAUAAAUAUGUAGAAUUGGUAGUUUUCUUUAUGAGAGGUUUGCUAUAGUAAGAUGUAUUCCAGCUAAGAGGUUUAGAACUCUAUAAAUUAAAAAUAAAAUAUUCAUUUCUAUAUGUUUAUUAUCCCAUCCUUAAUGUGGGCCCAAGUGAAUAGGAACUUUGGGAAAUCCCAUCCCAUUUGUCUUGUUAUCUAGAUUAUCUAUUUUUUUUUUUUUUGAUCAAUUAUAGUAUAAAUGAAACUAAAAUGCUUGAGUACUAUACUUCCUUAUGAAUGAUCAAAUCCUUGUAAAAGAGAACCUUAGAAUUUUAAAAUAAAAAUAAUUAAAUAAGAUUAUGUUUGGUUGUACUUUUAUUUAUUUAUUUUUAUUGCUUUUCAAAUUAAAUAUACAAAAUUUGAUUUUUUAUAAAAGCAUGUCUAAUACCUAUAGUAUUUUUUAUUAUACUCUUUGCAAAAAACAAAUUUGAGAAUGAUUUUCCAAAAACAAAUAAACAAAAAAAAAAGGUUUUACGUGUUGAAUACAUUAUAAGGAAGAAAAAAUAAAUAAUAGUAAAGAAAAUUCAUGAUUUUUAAUUUUUUUUUUAUGGAAGAUCUCAUUGCAAUUAUUUCCUUAUGGUCAUCCCUUUGGAGAAGAUAAUAUUUUAAUUAGGGUAAUAUAUGUGCUUUGAAUUUGAUUUUGUUCCAUAAUUUUUAAAAUUAUAUGCAAGAAACAAAUAGCCAAGGAUAUUUUAUUUGAUCAAAUAUAGAUUCUAAGCAAGCAAAUAAUUAAGGAUGACUUUAUUUUAGAAAUAGAUAGCAAUCAUCUAUAUAUAUAUUUGCCCAUUAUUACCUUAGUAAGAGUUUCAAUAGUUCUUUACUAUUAAUUAUAUUGACUAUGCUAUUAAUUAUGCUUGUUGUACGGUUAAAAUAAAGUUGGAAUUCAAAAAACAAAUAAAAAUAUUUAGUAACCAAAAUUAUCAACUUCAAUUCAUUGAAAGUCUUACCAAGAAAAUAUAAUUUUCAUAAAACAAAAGUCCAUUUGACCCCUCCAUUUGCUAUUGCUAUAUCAAUUUUAAUGCAAUUGUAAUCACAAAAUAUUAAAAUAAGAAAUAUUUUUUUAAUAACCACACAUCACAAAUAUUAAAUGAAUUAUUUACUAAUAGAUUUAUUUUUUUAUUUUUUUAUUAUUUGUUUUGCAUAUAUAUCUUUUAAGGGACAGUGACCUACAUUAGACUAUGAGAGAUGUGAGAUGCAAGACUUGAGACAAAGACAAAUUGAGGAAGGUACUAAAUAUAUAACUAAAUUUUAUGUAAAAUUUUUGAACUAUCAUUGGGUUUUGGUGGCACUGGAAACAAGGACUAUGAUUGCAUAUUACCUUGACUCAUUGGAAGACCAACCUUCUAAUGAGCUUAAGGAGAUUGUUAAUAUGUAAGUUUUUCUCUCAAUACAAGAGCAUGAAGCAUAAUUGGUAACAAAUAUUAUUUUCUUCAUGUAGGGCCCUUAGAAUUCAUCCACCACAAAAACAUAAAUCAUCAAAGAGGGAGCCUACUUGGGUUGUAGUAGGGGUGAGUAAUUCAUAUAAAUUAAGUAAUGCAAUUUUUAAUAGCAUUUCUUAAUUUUUAAUCAAGUACAAGAUAUCCUACAACUAACUAUAAAAUUGGUGUAUUCUACAAUGAUUUAUUUUUAUGCAUAAAGUGCCCAAUACAACCAGGCAGUGUUGAAUGUGGAUACUAUGUGAUGAGAUAUAUGAGAGAUAUUAUUGCUGAUUAAGGAUGUCUUACAUCAAAGGUAUGCACCAAUUUAUUAAUUUCCAAUAUAUCAUUUUUACCAUAUUUUUCAAUGUAAUUGAUUAAAUUGUUUACAUUACUCCUUAAUAGUUUCAUGGGAAAAAAUCGUAUAGCAAAGAUGAGUUGAAUGAAGUACGAUCAGAAUGGGUAAUGCUAGUCACUCAGUUGAUACUUUCUUCUGUUUGAAGGCUUUGAAGACACCUUUCUGUAUGGAAAUAGAUCAUACUUUUGCCCAAUCCAACUAUCACCUUUGUUAAGGUUAAUAUUUUAUUUUUUUCUCUUUUGAACCAAACUAUGAUUAAAAGUAAAUUGUUUGAUGGAAUCACAACCAAGUUGAUAACAUUUUCUUUCUAUUGUCAUGAUAUUUCUCUAGUUUCCCAUAACUAAACUAAGUUGUUAAUUGCAUGCAUGACUCACAGGCAUCCAAAAGGAAACUUUUUGAAGCUAAAAGUUGGAAGCUUUUCCAAGUUUCUAAUAGUUCAUGGGCUAUUGCCACAAAAAAGGUUAUUUUCAUAGGGAUAUCAAGUUUAUUAUUUCUUGCUUCCUAUUAAAGAUCUUCUAAUAGGGGAUAUACACUUGGAAUUUUGUCGUUCUCAUGUGAUCAUUUGUUUUCAUUCUCAACUACAGAAUGUUCUUGUUGGUUCAAAGGGAAACAUGAAGAUUUCUAAUUUUGGCCAUGGUGUUAUACCACAACAUUGUAAGUUACAUCGUCACCCUCAUAAAACAUAAAGAUUUCUUCAUAAAAUAAUUUUUUUUGUUUCAUUGCUUAACUUAUUUAUUUUUCAAUGAAUUUAAAACUACAAGAUGAUGGAUUACUAUAUAUUUAUAUACAACCAGUGGAAGUUCAAAUUACAUUGCUUAAUUAACUUCUAAUUAAGUUUUUUCAAGUGUCAAAAAUGUGGUUUGUAGUUUAAUUUUCAUUUCAUUAAAAUUAACAGUUCUAUUUUUAUCUCUUCAACCAAUUUGUAGAUCGGGUAAGUGAUUGAGCGUAGCUCUAGAAACUGCCAGUGAAGUAUCUCUAUGAACAUAAUCCCCUCAUGAUUUGCAGAAAUUUUAAGACUAACAACAUACUCUUAAAGGUAUGGUCUCUACUACUCAUAAAUUACCAUUAUAUUUUGUUCAUUCAGAAAAUUUAUAUUGGUGAUGAAGUUUUUAUUAUUUUACAUCAUUGGCUUGAUAACCAUGCUUUUUAAAUUUAGUAUACAUGAGAAAUAACAAUUAAAAAAAAAUGAAUUCCGGUUUCUCACUUUAUGUGUUUGUAUUAUGGACAUUUUUAAGCUAAAGUUCCUUAAGCUUUACUUUUGUGUAAUGUAUUGCAUGAUAGACUGAUGUUUGAAUCUCUAUUUGGCUUCAUAGAUAACCUGAAUUUAUUGUUAAAUUUUUAUGCAAUCAUAUAUUUGCCAUAUAGUUGUCACUUUAGAUCGCUCACAUAAUUCUAGAUAUUUUCCCAAAUAUGUUUUAUUUUAAAAAAAUAAUCAUAAUCUUUUUAAAUAUGAAAUAUGAGCUUUCAUUAAAAAAUAUUCAUCAGUAGAAGAUGUUUAUCUACUAUUAAGUUGUAGAUAUUCUUCUCUACAUUUUUUUAUGCAUGCCAAUUUAUUUAUUAUUAAGUUCUGGAAUUCAUAUGGUUGUUGCUAGCCUUGAUAGUGAUAAAUAAAAUGAAUGAUAAGUAUGAUACAAUUGACCACUAUUUUGGAUGCAAUGUUGCAACUCAUAUCAUAUGGUGGGAAGUGUUAAUUCUUUUAACUUAACAAAAAACUUAGUUGAUAAAGUAUCAUGGUGUAAACCUUAUUUAUUUCAUGUUACACCAUAUUCCCAAACCUUCAUUUGUCAAUGUUGGACAUUCGACGAGGUCUAUUACUAUUAGAUGAUGCCUAAUUGAAUAUUUUAAUGGACUAUUGAUGUUGAUAUUCUCUUGUCCCAAACUUGGUUUGUUUUUCUAUUUUCUUUUGGGCUAUACUAAAGAUUUAAUGGAUUAUCGAUGUUGAUGUUCUCUUAUCCCGUAUUUGAUUAAUCUCUUGUUUUGUGUUUUAACUAUUGAUAGUAAUUUUGUUGUAAUUAUUCUUAGAGUCACAUAUGUCAAUUGGUAUACACAUUUGAUUUCCUAUUAUAUUUUCAUUGUCUUCUCUCUAUUUCUAGAAGUAUUCACUUAUAUAUAUUUUUUCUAAAAUUGUAAUUGAUUUUAGUUUUUUGUGCAUGUAGGUCAUUUUUUUGGGAAAUUAACCUUGUAGUUGGAUAAGCUAGCAUGAAGGAGUAUGUUGAAGACCAAAGCACAAUUGGGUUGCAUGUAAAGAAAAAAUGGACUAUGUCAAGGGACUAAACAUUAAAGUUAUGACUUUUUUUUUUGUUAUUUUAAUAUAUUUUAGUUUUUUUGGGUUUCUUGUUUAUGAAAUACAAGUUCUCUAUUUGUGAUUAAAUACUGCAAUUUGGAAAUGUAUUACCAGAUGAAAAAUUAGGUGCAACAACUAAUUUCAGCAAUAAAUUUUUUUUCUUAUGUGUAUGCAUUAUUUCAAUAGCAGGUGAAAAAUUAGGUGCAACAAUUAUUAAAUUAAAACUAAACUUAAAAUUAAACAAUUAUCUUUCUUGAUGCUUUUACUAAGUGUCAAGGAAUGAGAGUAACCAUAGUAACAUUUCUACAACCCAAUAAUGGCACUAAUAAAUGUGUCAAUGUAGUGUGAACAACUAACAAUGACACUUUUUUAAGUGUCAAGGUUCUCUUCAAUGACGCUUUCUAGCCGUGUCCUUAUAGUUUGAUAUUUGAAACUACUAAACAAUGACACUUAUAGAAAGUGUCAGGGUUUCUUCUACUCAACAAUGGCGCUUAUAAAAGUGUCAAUGUAGUUUGAUAUAAAUAAUGAUGACAAAUUUUUUAAGCGUCAAGGUUCUCUUCAAUGGCGCUUUCUAAAAGCGUCAUUGUAGGCAAAUACUUAUUAUGACAGGCUAGUAGAUGACGCUUUGGGGAAGCGCCAUUGAAUGUAUUUCUUGACACUUAAAAAGCGUCAUGGUUAAUGUUUUUUCUUAUAGUGACCCCUUCUCUGUCUAAUUCAUCUACCUUACCAAGAGAGAUGGGAUAUAUAUUGAGCUUCUCUUGCCAACUUCAAAUGCAGCUUUUCACCAAAUUUCAUGUUCACUUCCCAUCUCACCCGCUCAAUAAAAGCCCCAAUCCCUUCAAACUCAUCCAGUACAACUAUUCUCCAUUUCUUUACAACAAGUUUAGCCAUUCAAUACCAAAAGAGCCUAGAAGAAAUGAUGAGGAAGCUCCUCAUCUCUUCUUUUCUGCUUCUGCUGUUUUUGUUGCAUCUUUGCAGCAAAACUUCUGCUCAGUCUAGCUCUACAGGUCCCAUUGACAUCAUUGCAGUUCUUGGAAAGGCUGGUAAGUUUACUACCUUCACUGGGCUACUGAAGAGCACACA
rnacentral:lncRNA from 1 species